rnacentral:rRNA from 1 species
UACAGAGGUCCCAAGCGUUGUUCGGAUUCACUGGGCGUAAAGGGUGCGUAGGCGGUCGGGUAAGUCUGAUGUGAAAUCUCACAGCUUAACUGUGAAACUGCAUUGGAUACUAUUCGGCUUGAGAGUUGGAGGGGGGACUGGAAUUCUUGGUGUAGCAGUGAAACGCGUAGAUAUCAAGAGGAACACCAGUGGCGAAGGCGAGUCCCUGGACAACUUCUGACGCUGAGGCACGAAAGCUAGGGGAGCAAACAGG